rnacentral:pre_miRNA from 1 species
GGAAACUUGGAAACUAUUGUUGGAUCGAAAAAUAGACAUUCGAGAUUCGUCCAUGCCAUCACGAGUAAAAAUUUUAAUCACAUGAUUAAAAUUUUUACUCGUGAUGACGUGGACGAAUCUCGGAUAUCUAUUUUUCGAUCCAACAUUAGUUUUCAAGUUUCC